AUGCCACCCGAGGGACCUGGUAGAGGGUGUGCCCAGCCCCCUCCCCCCAACUCCGACUCCCUCAAGCACUUCCCAGGGGCUCAAGCCCUGGUCGGAGAACCAGUGUCCUUUGUGGUGCGCAGGGUGACAACAGCUGGUCACUGCGCAGGUGGCACCAGGAGACUCAGGACCCUCAGCCACCCUGCCCUGCCUCUGGCCCCACCGGGACAAGCCUUGGGGGCACUUGGGUCCUGUCCGCCGGAGUUGAGGCCAAGGAACAGGAUCAGAACCUCUGUUUACGCUUCCUUAUGGGUGGCCGCGGCCACGGACAGUGCACCACAGCCCCCAGGUCCGGGACGGUGCUCGUCCCUUCCCGGGGGGGCUCCCAGGGAGCAGGAGCUGCCCCGUGCACUGGGCAAGGCCACAGCCGCCUCCCCUACCCCGAUUGCCACUGAGAGCAGAGCCCCCGGGCCAGCCACUCGCCUUCCUUGCUAUGGAUGGGACCGGUGGUCUGGCCUCCCUGGGCGGGCACUGAACGGCACUGCCCGUCUGAGGGCUCAGAGCGUGGCACUGCCUUGCUGGGCAGGAACGAGAUGCCGUGAUGCCAGAAGGUCAGGGCCAUGGUCUCCUGGCCUGAAGGUAGCCCUUACCCCUCAGCCUCUCCUGGCUUCCAGGGAGGUGCUGUGUCUGCCUGUCCGUCUUCCUGCCACCCAGCUAGCAGGUGCGGCCCCAGGUCCCGCCCACUCUCCUUUCCUAGAGCCUCAGUCCCCCGUCACGCUAGGAGAGGUGGGAGCUGCCCCGGCCACUCCCCCUGGGGGGCCAGGUUCCCCUCCAGAAGCAUCCUGCAGCACCCCCCAGCUGUGGUCAGCUCAGGCCUGGACCCGGGCUUGUGGGAGGUGGGGGAGAGAAGCACGCCCGUGGCCACUAGCAGGCGGAGGGGCGCGGCCAGGCGGAUGCUUAGCGCGGCCGCACAUGUGCUGGCCAUCGGCAGGUGCCAGCCCCUGCCCAGUGUCUCCGGUCCGGGAGCCCCUUGGAGGCCGCGGCCACUCCUGUGCACAUGGCAGCGACGGAGCCGCCUGUGUGUGUGUCCCAGGCGGCCGCCUGCUCCCCGGCUCCGUGGUCUCCUGCAGGUCUCCUGGUGGCGGCAGCUGGAGAGGAGUUUGCUGUUCCCAGGGCCCUAGCUGCCCCCACCCCCUCCACCUGCUGGAGCCCCCGUGCCCUGAGCUCGCCCCCUCCCUCCAGGAGGCGUCUCCAGAAGCCACGAAGCCAUCUCGGCGUGAGACUGACCGCCCUUUGGGGUGA
rnacentral:lncRNA from 1 species